rnacentral:rRNA from 1 species
AGAGAUGGAUUGGUGCCUUCGGGAACUCUGACACAGGUGCUGCAUGGCUGUCGUCAGCUCGUGUCGUGAGAUGUUGGGUUAAGUCCGUACGAGCGCAACCCUGUCCUUAGUUACCAGCACGUUAUGGUGGGCACUCUAAGGAGACUGCCGGUGACAAACCGGAGGGAAGGUGGGGGAUGACGUCAAGUCAUCAUGGCCCUUACGGCCUGGGCUACACACGUGCUACAAUGGUCGGUACAAAGGGUUGCCAAGCCGCGAGGUGGAGCUAAUCCCAUAAAACCGAUCGUAGUCCGGAUCGCAGUCUGCAACUCGACUGCGUGAAGUCGGAAUCGCUAGUAAUCGUGAAUCAGAAUGUCACGGUGAAUACGUUCCCGGGGCCUU